GGAUAGCUCUGUUGGUAGAGCAGGAGACUCUGGCUCAGGGUCAUGGGUUUGAGCCCCAUGUUGGGCA